UACUAACAGCGCCAAACCGUCGAAGGUCACUCCGAAAAGCUUGGGACGACAUCGUGCGAUGCUGUUUCACACAAAUCGAUCAGCAAUCACCAAGAGGAUCCUUCUACAGAAACUUCACUCGAUACUGACUUAAUCUUCAGAGGAACAAAGUCGAGAAACCCCUCCUCCCGACCUAGGCCAGUGUGCAGGAGUCUAGCAAUGACAAAGUAGAUAGCGCACCCAAGAGUCACAUCCGGAGUCAACCCCGAGCUCAACCCGAUCCGACGAAGGCUUAAUCGUCGGUACAAUCCUGGACAUGAUAAUCGAACCCAGCCAUGACACGUCGGCCACGGCUAUGCAAGUUUGUUAACAUAUCUUACACUGCUCACCAAUUUGUCCAUUCACUCGGUCAUCACGGGUUGUGUUGAACCGUGUUCCGUUCCCAAAAGAAAGCAUCAAUAGCAUCAUCAAGUCUUGCGCAUCAAAAUUUCCCUGCACUCGUUAAUUUCAAGUUAAAUAGUAGGUGUACAUGAUAGAUAAAUAACAAAUUUAUCAACUUUUAAGGGAUAUGAAGAGAUCAAUUUUGUCCACAAUUGAUGUCCAAGCUCCCAAAUGAGUAUAUUUUAUUUUGUGUUCAUCAGUUGCUGAUACAAACACUAAGAAUAUCUUAUAAUUUAUAUUAGUCUUGACUUAAACUAGAUGCUAAGCGUAGCGAGAAAUGAGAAAUGAUCCAUUGUUGUUGUGAAUAGGCUAUUUCCAAACUCUGAAAGAAUAGAUAUGUACAAAAACCAUAAAUACAUAUAAACUAAAUUAAGCCUGAUCUAACUCCAAUACAGCCUAUUUGAAAAUAUAAACUAUUGUAAACCUAUACUUUCAUUAUGUAACCACCAAAAAUAUAUUUUUCAGAAAUUUUUAAGGCUUAAAAAUUAUAUCCAACACAUCAUUCUCUCCAAUAUGAAUGACAUUGUAAAUUCUCAUUACCGUGCUCAAAAUGACCUAAAAUCGAUAUUAUAUCAUUGAAUGAAAAGGGUUUGACCUAAAAGUUUAUAAAAGAAACUUCCGGCUGAGAUUUGGCAACCGCUUCCAAUGUCAUGGUAUUUUAAAAAUCUAUCUAAAAUUAAUUUAAACCCAUAUAAAAAUUAACAUGAAUCAAAUGAUAUCAAUAGUUCACUUUCAUUAUCUAUACAGCGAUCAAUAAAAAUUAAAAACAGUCAAUGUAUAUCCAUGAUCUCAUUUGUUAUCCUUCUAAGAAAAAGAGACUGGAGAUAAUAGAUUAAGAUGAAAUCUAAUUAGGAUUAGCUAAAAUUUAAUUUUUAAUAUUUGGAAUUUGUCUUACUGAAAGUGGAUUGUGCCAUAAAAAGUAUUUCAGAUAGCUGUGCGGCACUGAUUUGUGCUCGAUCGAUGCUAUGUGACAACAUCUUUUGAGCAUGCUAUGGGCAAUGGAAAAUGUAGAAACAGGUAAGCUUAUGCUGCUAACUACAAUAUCAAUGUGCAUCACCAAAUUCAAUGUUGAGAGAGAUUGAGUGAGUUGGCUGACUUCUUGGCUGUUUGGGUUUCAAAUCAUAGAUCGAAAGGAAUCCCACGAGAGUCCAAUAAAAAUCAUUGGCAUAGUUGGAGUAUUGACUAAGAUUGUAGGGAUUGUCGUUGGAUACGAUUCAAAACCUCCUCGGUCAUGUGCCGGCGUCUUGGAUUUCCUACCAAGUCAGAUCGCAAGUUUUUAAUUCGGAUGAUGGCACAUGAAUUCAGGUUAAUACGAUCUGGUCAGGUAAAGAAGAUAAACCAAUAAUGAUGGACGAAAUAUACCCCAAACUGAAUGUAAAUAUAGCCAAUUGAACAUCAGCACAUACGGUUACUACUUGCAACUAUAAUCGAAAUAGAGAUGGAUAGCUGAAGUGGGAGGAGGAGACGACUCUGUGGGUUAAGGUUUAAAAGAAAUACAACACAUGAGAAAAGAAAGCGAUAUCAAAGUCACGGUACGUGCAAGCACUACUCCGACUCCGCAUUAGAAAUAUUGUAAUGCCAACUCCGUGGAGACUACGACUGGAGACCACUCUCAACAAGAGGAGAAAAUGCAAAUAUUUUAAUGCCGUCCGCAUUAGAAAUUACAUGCAUGACUGAACAAAACAAAAGCUUAGUGGAUUAAAUUAAGCAUAGGAAUUCCAACGAGCGACAAAUUACGUUGAUGACAUUAAAAUACAUUUUUUUGUGAUUCGCAAGAUCAAACCACUUUAUUUUUUAUUUUGUGAUAUGUCGUCGUGGGAAUACGUGAGGUCAUAUUAAAUUUCAUAGGUGAAUAAAGCUUCAUGUUUUUGGGAACCGUUUUGAACGAAUGAUUCAAAGGGUUGUCAGAAAGUCAUACAAAUAAAAGGUUUUUUAAUACAUUUUUAUAUAAUUUAUUCAAGUAGAGGUUAGUGUGAAUGAAUCGCAUCCCUGUAGACCUAUCCCUGAUUGAUGGAUUUUAACACAGCAUAUCCAGAAUAUAAGGAUACACCUAUGGGAGGGAGUAGCUUAUCAUCAAUGCCGAAUAAUCCAUGGGAAAGCCAAGUGUGGUCUAAGAGGCACAAACUUAGAGAAAGGACAACCGACUUAAAGUAUGGCGAAAAAAAAGUACAUGAAUUUAAGUUCGUCUUUUUCAGGUUACUAAGCAUACAUUAAUCGAGAUAAUUAUCAAGAAUUUAAAUUCUAAUUUUAAUUUCAAUAAAUUUUAAAUUUUCACUCUGAUUCUUAUAAAAUUUAGUAUAAACUGCUUGAUGAAAUUUAUAUUUUUAAACUAUUAAGAAUUAUUGAGCUAUAUCCACGAAUAAAACUUUUAAUUGAAAUGUUACCUCAAGAGCGAGGAAGAAUGCGCGCCGACACUGUCACAGUAGGCGGCUAGAAGAAUCCGACAAGGACUGGCACUAUACGAGAACAAGUUGAUAUUUAAGAGAGAUAGUUGGAAAAUGUAUUUGGAAAAAACAAAUGCAUCUUGCAUGAAAAUAUAUAAAAAUACCGCCGUUGAAGAAAAAAAUCCCCGGACGACCUUCUAGUGGUUUUGAACGCGUCAUUCAUCCUUCCUCCAUACUGUUUCACCAUUAAUGAACUUAAAAUAAUAAUAAUAUUUUUUUAAAAAAUAAACAUUGUAUAAUUAUAUUAUCCAAUGAGGAUUUGUAUAAUUGUUGCUUCGGUGUAUCGAUGUUUUACCAGAUCUGCAUCUAACGACGAGAACGACUAGUUUUGCUUCUCUCCCCGCCCCUCUCCGGCAAGCGGCAGAAGAUGGCGGUAAUGCAGCAGGUUGUGCUGAGUUCAGGGAGGAGGAUGCCGGUUCUCGGCAUGGGGACGGCCACAUAC
rnacentral:lncRNA from 1 species